CCUUGAUGACGACUGGCGCACGGGUGAGUAACGCGUAUCCAACCUUCCCAUAACUACGGGAUAACCCGUUGAAAGACGGCCUAAUACCGUAUGAUAUCGUUUGCUGACAUCAAAUAACGAUUAAAGGUUUAGCGGUUAUGGAUGGGGAUGCGUCUGAUUAGCUUGUUGGCGGGGUAACGGCCCACCAAGGCAACGAUCGGUAGGGGUUCUGAGAGGAAGGUCCCCCACAUUGGAACUGAGACACGGUCCAAACUCCUACGGGAGGCAGCAGC
rnacentral:rRNA from 1 species